rnacentral:rRNA from 1 species
GCGGCGAGCUUACACAUGCAAGUUCGAGCGGUAAGGCCCUUCGGGGUACACGAGCGGCGAACGGGUGAGUAACACGUGAGCAACCUGCCCCUGACUCUGGGAUAAGCGGUGGAAACGCCGUCUAAUACCGGAUACGACCCGCCACCUCAUGGUGGAGGGUGGAAAGUUUUUCGGUCAGGGAUGGGCUCGCGGCCUAUCAGCUUGUUGGUGGGGUAACGGCCUACCAAGGCGAUUACGGGUAGCCGGCCUGAGAGGGCGACCGGCCACACUGGGACUGAGACACGGCCCAGACUCCUGCGGGAGGCAGCAGUGGGGAAUAUUGCGCAAUGGGCGAAAGCCUGACGCAGCGACGCCGCGUGGGGGAUGACGGCCUUCGGGUUGUAAACCUCUUUUACCACCAACGCAGGCUCGAAGUUUUCUUCGGGUUGACGGUAGGUGGGGAAUAAGGACCGGCUAACUACGUGCCAGCAGCCGCGGUAAUACGUAGGGUCCGAGCGUUGUCCGGAAUUAUUGGGCGUAAAGAGCUCGUAGGCGGCGUGUCGCGUCUGCUGUGAAAGACCGGGGCUUAACUCCGGUUCUGCAGUGGAUACGGGCAUGCUAGAGGUAGGUAGGGGAGACUGGAAUUCCUGGUGUAGCGGUGAAAUGCGCACAUAUCAUGAGGAACACCGGUGGCGAAGGCGGGUCUCUGGGCCUUACCUGACGCUGAGGAGC